AGUGAACGCUGGCGGUAGGCCUAACACAUGCAAGUCGAACGGCAGCACAGUAAGAGCUUGCUCUUACGGGUGGCGAGUGGCGGACGGGUGAGGAAUACAUCGGAAUCUACUUUUUCGUGGGGGAUAACGUAGGGAAACUUACGCUAAUACCGCAUACGACCUACGAGUGAAAGCAGGGGAUCUUCGGACCUUGCGCGAUUGAAUGAGCCGAUGUCGGAUUAGCUAGUUGGCGGGGUAAAGGCCCACCAAGGCGACGAUCCGUAGCUGGUCUGAGAGGAUGAUCAGCCACACUGGAACUGAGACACGGUCCAGACUCCUACGGGAGGCAGCAGUGGGGAAUAUUGGACAAUGGGCGCAAGCCUGAUCCAGCCAUACCGCGUGGGUGAAGAAGGCCUUCGGGUUGUAAAGCCCUUUUGUUGGGAAAGAAAAGCAGCAGGUUAAUACCCCGCUGUUCUGACGGUACCCAAAGAAUAAGCACCGGCUAACCUCGUG
rnacentral:rRNA from 1 species